GUUGCUGAACUCAUCUUCCUCGUUUAAUGCCUUCUCACAAUCUAGCCUGAAUGCCCGAUGAAAUUAUACGUUACAACAUUGAACGAAAAAUAUACCUUCGUUGAUUCGCUACUGCUGAAACUGUUGCGCUAAGCCAAAAACAAUGUAGCUGCAAUAUCAUUAAAUCAUCAACCUCCAAAGAAGAACAGUUAUAUCUUCUCCUAUUUGGGUUCCAGAAACUCAUAAAGGAAAUUCGUCGUCCAAGUCUGUAGAAAAAUCGUCAAUUAGUACGUGAUUCAAAACUAGAAAUUAUAAGAAGAAACCGUUUCGAGCUUCGGCUUUCAGCAAUAGCAAGCUACAAAAAGAAAAACCUCGCGAAAUAUCCUGAAAAGCUCCAUCAGGAACACAAGAAAAGAGAAAGAUUGCCAAUCGUCAUUGCAAUGUGGGGUAAAAAGGCAAUAUUGAGCUUAAAAUCGCAGGUGAUCUUGAGAGAAAAGGAUGGAGCUCCCUCAUGAGAGUUUCGAAAAGAUGCUGAAACUAUCAAUAUCGUUCAAGGAUUUGCCACAACACGAGUCCAUCUAGAGCACAAAAAAAGGAAUAGCAAUGGACGCGAUUCUUAGCUUGAAAACCAAAAUUUACCAAACGAUGGACAGCGUCCGCCUGGAGCUAACACAGUUGGAGCACAAAAGCAAGCGCAUCACAGCGCGCUCUUCCUCUAUCAACGAACAGCGACCAAAGUGUGAGCGUCCAUCUAAAGCCAAAGGAUUCUUUGUGUAAGCGAAAUAUACCUCAGAUUUCACGGAUCUUCUGUGACGAGCUCCAGCGCCAAGAAAAAGA
rnacentral:lncRNA from 1 species